rnacentral:lncRNA from 1 species
AUUCACACUGUGCAGUCAAGGUAAAAUCUUGAUGUGGUAGUAAUCAACAAUAUUUUGUAGGAAGAUGGGAAUGUAAUUCAGCAGUUAUAUUUGGAGCAGCUGUUGUUCAGCUGUUGGACAGAGGCACUGGAAAAAAGUAGACACAACCAAGGAGAUUGCCUAGUAGUAGCUAUUGUUGUUCUAGACUCUGAACUAUGUGGGAUGAAGAACCGCCUCCAUAUGUAUGUAGCCGACUUCUGAGCAUCAAGUGUACCUUACUGAUGGAAAAUGUUCUGGAGAGAAACACAGCCAUAAUUUUAAUAUUUCUCCACUAUUAACAAGGCAUUAGGCAUUCCCAGUUGUUGCCAGUUCUACAUCAGCCUUCAUCAUCCUGGCCUACAUCUCUGUCACAGAUAUGAGUCAUAACAUCAUGACCGAUGGUCCUGUGGUAUGAGCAGUAAAGGAGCAUCCCUGAGCAGACUGAGGGAUGUUGGGCACUGGUCCACCCAGGUGAGAUGUGUUAAGUCAUUAAGCAGUGACUGAUGUGAGCCUGGAUUUCAGCUUCUGCUCCUUCUGUUUUUAACAAAGUUGUUAAUUUUAAUGAGUUUUAUAUAUAUAUAAAAAAAUCAGCUUCACAAAUAUUGUGUAAGCCUGA